rnacentral:rRNA from 1 species
UACGUAGGGGGCAAGCGUUGUCCGGAAUCAUUGGGCGUAAAGCGCGUGUAGGCGGCUAGGUAAGUCUGCUCUGAAAGCCCGGGGCUCAACCCCGGGAGGCGGGUGGAUACUGUCUAGCUCGAGUCCGGAAGAGGAGUGUGGAAUUCCUGGUGUAGCGGUGAAAUGCGUAGAUAUCAAGUGGAACACCAGUGGCGAAGGCGAGUCUCUGGACAUUUCCUGACGCUGAGGCACGAAAGCCAGGGGAGCAAACGGG